GAGAGAGAGAGAGAUUGUUCUUCAAUACAAGACAGUGGGUGGAUCAUUUUCUUCAAUGAAGUAAAUUUGAUCAGUGGAAUCCAUCACAAAAAUCUUGUGAGGCUAUUGGGAUGCAGCAGACGCUUAGCAAGAAAAGUAUUCCAGGGCAGGUUUCAUAUUACUUCAGAAAGCCAUGUGCCAAUGAUGUAGUUAUCUUUAAAAGUUCACCGGUCCUUCAGGAAGUAGGAUAUACCGACCUUGACGUCUUUAUUAAAAGAAUAGUGGCCAAGGAAGGUGAUACUGUGGAGACUGUGCCAGAGAACUCAGUUUUUGUGAUGGGUGGCAAUAGAAAUAACAGGUAUGGGGAUGAGGAUGAAGGGAUUAAGAUUUUUUGCUGCAUUCCACCUGUAUGACGAAUUUCCUGUGUUGGUUGUUAUUGAUGAUUUUAGAGAUUUCUUUGAGGAAAGGAUCUGUCAACAGAGACAUGGUAAUCCAAGGGGAAGAGACUUAGCAAUGGUGAGGACACUAGCUUUGUGUCACAAUGCCAUUGUUCAUGCAAAUGAAACAAGGCCUUGCAAGCUUCUGUCAUCGGAUACACACCAUCGAGACUCCCCGCGGUUUCUGUUCAUCUACAAACGAUGGGUUUCGAAAAUCUUCACGAUUCAAGGUGAUGACUGUGGAUCGUUUAUUCUAAAAGACUAGCCAUUCCACAAAUGACACCUCAAGGAAAAUAAAGACUGCCAAGUACUUUAUAACUCUCCAGUACCAGGUUUUGGAGAAGAUCAAUGAAGAUGGUGGGCAGCAGGGAUAUCACAUUUAUAAUUUACUGAAAAGCUCGAUGACAACACAAGCACUCUGUCAGUGUUAAUAUUAUGUUUCACUUCCUUGAUUGUUCUAUUAUCACAAUGUUAGUUCUGUACAAGAACUAUGUGAACUGAUCAGUAUUUCCAAUUAGUAAAACCACUGCCCACUGUCCCGGAAUUCAAGCUUUGUGCUUUCAGGCACGGAAUUGAAAGCUUAGUUGAGCAAGGGAAGCUGCAGCAUGAUAUGAACCAAGAUCAUUUAUAUGGUUGUCAGAAAUGGCGUUCCUUUUAUACUUCUGUAAAAGUUCUAGCCUAUACUUCU